rnacentral:rRNA from 1 species
CACUAUGCUUAGCCCUAAACAUAAAUAGUUAUAUAAACAAAACUAUUCGCCAGAGUACUACCGGCAAUAGCUUAAAACUCAAAGGACUUGGCGGUGCUUUAUACCCUUCUAGAGGAGCCUGUUCUAUAAUCGAUAAACCCCGAUAGACCUUACCACCCCUUGCUAAUACAGUCUAUAUACCGCCAUCUUCAGCAAACCCUAAAAAGGAGCAAAAGUAAGCACAAUCACUAUACAUAAAAACGUUAGGUCAAGGUGUAACCUAUGGAGUGGAAAGAAAUGGGCUACAUUUUCUAAUCUAAGAAAACUCUUUACGAAAGUUACUAUGAAAUUAGUAACCAAAGGAGGAUUUAGCAGUAAACUAAGAAUAGAGUGCUUAGUUGAAUUAGGCCAUGAAGCACGCACACACCGCCCGUCACCCUCUUCAAAUAGGCACAAUACACUUAAAUUUAAUUAUACGUAUUAAUCAUAUGAGAAGAGAUAAGUCGUAACAAGGUAAGCAUACUGGAAAGUGUGCUUGGAUAA